UGACGACGCUAGUGAACGUUUUCGUGGUAGAUUCCUAGUCUUACAGUUUAUUUACGGUUUACGGUUUUUGCGGUCUUAUGGUCACUGCUAAAAGGACGGAUAAAAGGAAUAUAAGGGCUAUAAGUUGUUUCCCAAGGUUGAAAGGACACAGAUAAAGCUUUUAAAACAUCUCUCGGCGGCUUUGUUGCCUGAUAUGAAAUGUUCACCACAACAUGACGGCAACUUUCACUUCAGUUGGACGAUCACCAAGCAUAAUAUUUUCUAUAAGAUUCCAGUUAUUCGGUGAAAAAUCGCUGAGGUGCUGUUAUUUCUUCCAUGAAUGUAGAGAAUUACAUCAACGCUUGCAAUCGAACAUCAAAAGCUGGAUUACGGCAAUUGCUUGAAUCAGAUAAGUACAUUCCUACUUUUUAUUUUGAUUUUUUGAUCUGUUCACCUCAUUGCUAAACUUUGAUUGCGUAGAAGCAACAAUAAAGUUUCCGCUGACAAGCCAGGUAAGUGAUAGUAUUAAGUGAGCCAACGCACGUCAUCAGAGAUUGGAUUAUUGACUAGUUGAAUACGCAUUGUAUCUGAUCGCUUUGGAUAGACUUGAGAAAACACCCAUUGAAGCUUUUGUGUUUCAAUUCGCUGUUAAAGGAACAACUUUCAGACUAUGAAUUAUGUCAGGCCCCACCUGACAAACUUGAAAGACUCACUUUCAAGUGAAACAUAUUCUGCAAUACAAGAAAAGCAGGACAAAGACCUUUGGAAGAUGAAACGCUUUCAAGCUACGUGUUAUCUGUUUUCCUUGUCACCAUCGAGAUGCUCUGCCACAAAUGUUAUGCCACAAAUCUUGAAAGAACAAGCGCUUUCAAGAUAUUUCCAAAUUGCUCGAUGGCAACCAAACCAAGACAAAAAUUGCGUUCAAUCUUACAAUUUUAAGAC